UCUGGCAUCCCUGUAAGUGGGUACCAGCAUUCAUGCAUCAACACAGGAGGUUAGACUGAUAGGGAGGAAAAAAAAAAUCUGCACCAGCCUUUCACAUACAGUAGAUUUCUUUGCUUCUCAGGAUUUCAGAAUAAAAGAUCAGUUUCUCCAUCUGGGGUCUGUGAAAGAUGUCUUCAAAUGCUCCCUUACACUUGCUGCUGUCUUUUCCGCAACUUUUCAGGGAGAAUAUAUGCAGGCAGAACCCGACCCAGACCAAUUGCUGAGCUACAGCUAACAUACACAUACAAGCAAGAACAUGUGUUUUUUUUAAAUCUGUCUGAGUUUGGGUUACUUCCAUUUAUUUUAAGCUUUUAAAACUACUGAUAUUCCUGGAGAUUCUGCUGAAUAAAAGUUCCAUUGUGUGCAUUAUCACAUUUUUAUUUUUUAUUUUUUAUAGGAUUUUCGAGACAGGGUUUCUCUGUGUAGCCUUGGCUGUACUGAACUUGCUUUGUAGACCAGGCUGGCCUCGAACUCACAGCAAUCCGCCUGCCUCUGCCUCCCGAGUGCUGGGAUUAAAGGUGUGCGCCACCACUGCCCGGCUGCAUUAUCACAUUUUUAUAUGUAUUCAUCUGCUGAUGGGCAACUAGUUGAUGCCAUGUCCUUUCUAACCAUACUUCUGAUCAUCACAUCUUCUGUCAAGAUUGACUGAG